AGGAUAAACGCUGGCGGCGUGCCUUAUGCAUGCAAGUCGAACGCACCGCAAGGUGAGUGGCGAACGGGUGAGUAACACGUAGGAACCUGCCCGGGAGUGGGGAAUAACUUCCCGAAAGGGGAGCUAAUACCGCAUAUGGUCUACGGAUCAAAGCUUUAUGCGCUCUCGGAGGGGCCUGCGGCGGAUUAGCUUGUUGGUGGGUAACGCCUACCAAGGCGACGAUCCGUAGCUGGUCUGAGAGAUGGUCAGCCACACUGGGACUGAGACAGGCCCAGACUCCUACGGGAGGCAGCAGCAAGGAAUUUGCGCAAUGGACGAAAGUCUGACGCAGCAACGCGCGUGGGGAUGAAGGCCUCGGUUGUAAACCCUUUGCGAGGAAGAAGAUCUGACGGUACUCGACGAAUAAGCCACGCUAACUACGUACGCCAGC
rnacentral:rRNA from 1 species